UCCAGAGGGUGCGAGCGUUAAUCGGAAUUACUGGGCGUAAAGCGCGCGUAGGCGGCUUUGCAAGUCGGGUGUGAAAUCCCCAGGCUUAACCUGGGAACUGCAUUCGAGACUGCAUUGCUAGAGUAUGGGAGAGGGAAGUGGAAUUUCCGGUGUAGCGGUGAAAUGCGUAGAUAUCGGAAGGAACAUCAGUGGCGAAAGCGACUUCCUGGACCAAUACUGACGCUCAUGUGCGAAAGCGUGGGGAGCAAACAGG
rnacentral:rRNA from 1 species